UAGAACUGAAGCUAAUACAUCAAACAUAAUGAGAGAGUAUCUGAAAGCUGUAGGCCUUACAGUAAUACUGAAGAGGAACUGAAAAAUUACAGACAUAUAAAGGCUCAAAGAAAGACCAGAGAGGAACAUUCCCAAAACUGCUACUACUUUAUCAAACUGAUUAAAUGCUCAUAUAUGGCAACAUGCAGUGCCUAUCUAGGCAACAUUUUUGUAGGCACGUGACUCAAAGCUGUCACUUUGAAACUGAAAAUCCAAAUUAUUCUGAUAACAAGGCAAAACAGUGUGGUAAAUCUCAAGCCACUUACACGGAAGUCUGGUAAGAAAAGGUGAACGAUCUAUCUAAAAUCAAAACUCUGCACAGUGAGACGAUAAAGGAUUUUAAUGUGCAACUUCCGUUUCUCGUCCCAAUUUCAGCAAAGGUCAGUGUUUCCACACAGAAGUAAAAGAAGCAUUGUAAGACAGUAUAGACAGUGACACCACCCAAGAGUGAUUGUGGAUCUCUUGGCAACAAUCAGUAUGGAUGACAGACAGCACAACGAAUUUCAGGGUUUAAAUGGUAUUAACAAACUUAGUCAGUGGGUAGAUUGUAAUACUUAGAAUUGUGCAAACUGUUAUCUUCUUUACCUGGAAAAGAAAGAUGUGAAAUUAAACCUUAUGUGCCAGUUUUUCAACAAGAGCCCUAACAACCCUAAUUCUGUGCUGACAUUUCAUUUUUGAUGCUGGGUAGAUUUGUUCUUGACUGGUUUAGGGAGAGAGAGUUUGAAAGUGUAGAAUCUCAUGGGUCAUUUGGCAAAUAUGGGUCCAACAGAUUGCUGAAUACAAGAUGUGCUUGGAAGAACAUGGGGUCUGAGCUGACUUUGUACUCAGAGACAAACCUCCUGGUACCUGAGAUACAUGUCUUUGCUGGAACAUAACAAAAGCAAAAAAUAAUAUAAAUUAGAGCCCUUUGAUAUCUGCAAUAGCACCCAUAUAUCUGGCUUUUAUUAAUUACCACCAUUUUGUCCGCUAUAACAGAUGGAGAAAGAUUUCAAGAAGCCCUUUGUUUGGUCCAUGAAGAUCUUGAGUUCUUCCAUUGUUCUGUUCAGAAGGGGACCAGACACACCCUUGUGUGCAGAAUCUUACAUGAACUCCAAAUUAAUUUAGCAUGGCUUGUACUUCUUGUAUUCACAAGGAAGAGAUGAAUGUCUGAGCUAAUGUGAUGUAGUUUCUUAGAGAUUAAAGUUUUGACGGUGUGCAUUAUGCACAGCUGUGGUGUCUCAUCAAAGCUAGUCCCUGCUCUCUAUGCUGUAUAAGCCAAUCUCUACUAUCCUUUCCUCAAUUCCCCAAUUGUCUUCCUCCUUUCUGCCUUCAACAGAGCAGUAUGAUGUGCUAAUCAACUAAUUAACACAUCUUCUUUGUAAUUAACCUGGCCUUCUCUCUAACCUGACCAUCCACACCAGGAGGAGGAAUGUUAGGUAUAUUAAUUUGCAGCAAUCUGAGUAUGUUUACAAGCAUAUAGGCAGUUUAAAACAAACAGUGUGUUAAGAAGGCUUCAAUAGAGGAACACGUUUUGCUACCAGCUCCUGAGGUAAUAAAAAAAUGACUUCUAGUAAAAAAAAUUUUACUAGGAUAUUAUCUGUGCUGUACUUUUUAAUGUCCAACCUGCAAAAAGAUGAGGAAGGUUUGCUAGAAAAGAAAUGGAAAACAUGCUGCUAGGAAGAAAAAAAAAAAAAAGAAAAAGAAAAAACGAGUCACCUUCUGUAAGGGCGCAGCAUCAGCUGGACUGUUUCCUGACAGCAACCUUGGGAUGAAGAAUUAGUCAUUCUUCCUUGCCUGGAGCAUGCUGUUUUGCAUAGGCAGGUCUCCUAGGGAAACUCUUUCUAGAGUUAUUUUCAGGAAGGGUAUUUCAGGGAUAGAAUAGUGCUUUAUUCGAUUUGAUUUAGACAAGCAUUUUUAAAUAGAGAUUUUAUUUUUAAUUUGUGUAGUUGCGGGUGUAACUAAACACUUCUACAUAUCUAAAGCUAACUCAGAAAAGUAACUUCUGUGUCACUGUGAGAAAUGCCCCUUGGUAGUGCCUUGUUUUUAAGUGAUUGAUUUCCUGAGUGGAAUCCAGAAUCUGGUAGGAAACGUGUGGUGUAGGGAUUAUUUUAAAUCCAUUUCCUCUCCAGAGCAUAAAUGACCCACCAGAGUGGAUUAUUUUUAACAUGGCAGCUGAGCACCACACAACUGUUCUCUCAUUCCUCGCCUUCCCAGUGGGUGCAGAGAACAAGUAUGAAAAAUAAAACAAAAUAGAACUAAAAACAUUAGUGUGUUAUCAACAUAGUUUUUCUCCAAAAACCAAAACAUACCAUUGUACCAGACAAUUUGAAGAAAAACAGUUCUGUCCCAGCUAAAACUAGGACACUGAGGCAUCAGCCUGAACCAGUGAGUGAGCAUCUGGUGAAGAGGUAUGGCCAGCCCUGGGAGCACAGGUGGAAGCAAUUCACCUGUGUGAUUGGAAAGUGUGGAGCCAGGCUACACCCUCUCCCUAAACCUCAUUUAAGGACUGGUUGCUGUAAAGGGUAAAUCUAUGUUUGGAGAUCACCUUCUUUGAAAUGUUUGGCUGAAGCUCUUUAGACAGAGGGCAUACUUCUCUCUUCCGCUCAAUGCUGUCCAACUCCAGUCUUCUCACUACAGAUGUGGACAUACUGGAGCUAGUACACCAAAGGGUCAGAAAAAUGAUUAGGAGUUUGGAGCAUCUUCCGUAUGAGGAGAGGCUGCAGGAAGACUCUCAUCUCUGGUUGAUGCUAUCUGAGAAAGAAAACCCCAUAUUUCCAAACAAAGGAAGAGAAAGAGAUUGCAACACCUUGUUGUUUGAACUCCACAAGAAUUUAUCUAUGUAUUUCAUUUACUAGGCAGCGAAAAGGAAGACAAACAGAAUUCUCCACGCCUGCUCAGCCAAUCAAAAAUUAAAGUGAGAAGACACUAAAUCCUGGGCUUUAAAACUCCUGUUGUUUAUGUACCACAGGGGAGGACUUUUUUCCCAUAACACAUUUACUGAUUAGCAAGAUUUGUCAAUAAAUCCUGUGCCUGACAGAUUGAUCUGAUGGCACUUCACAAAACCAUUGUUUUCUCCUCUACAAAGUAUUUAUUAUUUUCUUGCUGUAAGAAAUGCUCAACAUCUUCUGCCUUCAAACCAGAAACUGGAUACUUCUUCCAUACUGGUUUUUAGGCAUCCAGUCAGAAAAGAGACAACCCUAAACUCAUAAAGGACUAUUGCCAAACAGAACCAGAACUGGUGUCUUGAUGAGGUUCUUCCUGUGCUCUACUUCUGGCUUUAUGUGUAUCAUUUUCAUAUGAAAUCAGAAAAUUUGUCUUUUUCUUUGUUGGAAUUACUUAUGCCAAAGCAAAAUAUGAGUUUUAUAGGCCAAUGUAAUAUCAAACUUAACUUGUGAAUCUGUUACAGAAUCUUGGCUGGGAUUAAAGUAUAUUGACAAUAGAAAUAUUAUGACCAUUUUCACAAACAUUUGCUUUCCUUUCUUCUUCUUCCUUUUUUUUUUUUUUUUAAUGUAUUUCAUUGCCUGUUAAACAUUUCAUCUUGCAGCACUAAAGGGCCUAAAAUCACUUUCAUCUAAUACUAAAAUGAAAUGGACUUCAUUUUAAAGAAAGUAGCUACUUUUAUCCUUCAUUAUUUUUUG